GAUGAACGCUGGCGGCGUGCCUAAUACAUGCAAGUCGAGCGAACGGACGAGAAGCUUGCUUUUCUGAUGUUAGCGGCGGACGGGUGAGUAACACGUGUAUAACCUACCUAUAAGACUGGGAUAACUUCGGGAAACCGGAGCUAAUACCGGAUAAUAUUUUGAACCGCAUGGUUCAAAAGUGAAAGACGGUCUUGCUGUCACUUAUAGAUGGAUCCGCGCUGCAUUAGAUAGUUGGUAAGGUAACGGCUUACCAAGGCAACGAUGCAUAGCCGACCUGAGAGGGUGAUCGGCCACACUGGAACUGAGACACGGUCCAGACUCCUACGGGAGGCAGCAGUAGGGAAUCGUACGCAAUGGGCGAAAGCCUGACGGAGCAACGCCGCGUGAGUGAUGAAGGUCUUCGGAUCGUAAAACUCUGUUAUGAGGGAAGAACAUAUGUGUAAGUAACUGUGCACAUCUUGACGGUACCUAAUCAGAAAGCCACGGCUAACUACGUG
rnacentral:rRNA from 1 species